UCCCCAGACUCCUACGGGAGGCAGCAGUGGGGAAUAUUGGGCAAUGGGCGCAAGCCUGACCCAGCAACGCCGCGUGAAGGAAGAAGGCUUUCGGGUUGUAAACUUCUUUUAAGAGGGAAGAGAAGAAGACGGUACCUCUUGAAUAAGCCACGGCUAACUACGUGCCAGCAGCCGCGGUAAUACGUAGGUGGCAAGCGUUGUCCGGAUUUACUGGGUGUAAAGGGCGUGCAGCCGGGCUGACAAGUCAGAUGUGAAAUCCCGCGGCUCAACCGCGGAACUGCUUUGGAAACUGUUAAGCUGGAGUACUGGAGAGGCAAGCGGAAUUCCUAGUGUAGCGGUGAAAUGCGUAGAUAUUAGGAGGAACACCAGUGGCGAAGGCGGCUUGCUGGACAGAGACUGACGUUGAGGCUCGAAAGCGUGGGGAGCAAACAGGAUUAGAUACCCGAGUA
rnacentral:rRNA from 1 species